rnacentral:rRNA from 1 species
GACGAACGCUGGCGGCGUGCUUAACACAUGCAAGUCGAACGGAAAGGCCCUGCUUUUGUGGGGUGCUCGAGUGGCGAACGGGUGAGUAACACGUGAGUAACCUGCCCUUGACUUUGGGAUAACUUCAGGAAACUGGGGCUAAUACCGGAUAGGAGCUCCUGCUGCAUGGUGGGGGUUGGAAAGUUUCGGCGGUUGGGGAUGGACUCGCGGCUUAUCAGCUUGUUGGUGGGGUAGUGGCUUACCAAGGCUUUGACGGGUAGCCGGCCUGAGCGGGUGACCGGCCACAUUGGGACUGCGGUACGGCCCAGACUCCUACGUGAGGCAGCAGUGGGGAAUAUUGCACAAUGGGCGGAAGCCUGAUGCAGCAACGCCGCGUGCGGGAUGACGGCCUUCGGGUUGUAAACCGCUUUCGCCUGUGACGAAGCGUGAGUGACGGUAAUGGGUAAAGAAGCACCGGCUAACUACGUG